GGCAAGCGUUGUCCGGGAAUUAUUGGGCGUAAAGGGCUCGCAGGCGGUUUCUUAAGUCUGAUGUGAAAGCCCCCGGCUCAACCGGGGAGGGUCAUUGGAAACUGGGGAACUUGAGUGCAGAAGAGGAGAGUGGAAUUCCACGUGUAGCGGUGAAAUGCGUAGAGAUGUGGAGGAACACCAGUGGCGAAGGCGACUCUCUGGUCUGUAACUGACGCUGAGGAGCGAAAGCGUGGGGAGCGAACAGGAUUAGAUACCCUGGUAGUCCACGCCGUAAACGAUGAGUGCUAAGUGUUAGGGGGUUUCCGCCCCUUAGUGCUGCAGCUAACGCAUUAAGCACUCCGCCUGGGGAGUACGGUCGCAAGACUGAAACUCAAAGGAAUUGACGGG
rnacentral:rRNA from 1 species